CACGUUUCUCCACCGCUAUCAACCUGACCCUUGCCAGAGGUGAUCUCCCUUUCAUCUUUACAUGCCCAACAGAGGAAGCUCUCAGGAACGGGCUGUUUCUUACCGUCACGGCCAGAGUGGAGAAGAUGCUCUCCCAGGUCACAGCCAAACACCCCUUCCUUCUUUAUCUCCCGCUGCUUCGGUUCCUUUGGGCGGGCCUUCACCAAGGAACGAAGGAAGCUGAUGAGCUUGCCGCGCUUCUUUGGCACUGUGCAACACAAGGAAGAAACCAGUUCAUUUCACGUUGGGCUCAGCGGGACCAGGCUGAGCGUCACACAUUCUACAGAGCACGUAAAAGCGGGAAGAACAUUGCCAACAAGUACAUACAACAACGGACUUUCCCCGUCCCUGGAGGAGUCCAAGGCCACGUUGGAUGGGGCCCUGGGCAGCCUGGUCUAGUCUGGCAUUCAAAGUGGAGGUUGGCAGCCCAGCCUGAGGCACGGGGCUUGGAGCUUGAUGAUCCUUGAGGUCCCUUCCAUCCCAAGCCAUUCUACGAGGAUCCUAUCAUUUGCCCAAGCCCUCAUUCUCACUGCCUACAAAACAGCAGCCGUAUGCCCCGUGGGAUGCAUGAAGGAUCAUCAACACAGAGGAUAACGUGGGAUGGAUAAAGGAGCUAUUCAACACGGAACACACCCAGAAGACGACUCCCUUUGACUUCCCCGCGCCAUCACAUGUAACAUCCGUACCUGGCUUUGGUGCUGAAUCGAUGAGGGCCUCAGGAAUUUUUCCGUUGAUGAGCUCCACGCACUCACCAGGGAAAAAUCCCACCUGGAACAAGAACAAGAAGAGAGAUGGAAGACUGAAUGCAGCACUUCUCAGGCCUCCACCGUUAAACCAAGAAAGAAUGGCCUGCAGAAAAGGAACCCUCAUUCCACAUUUGCAGCCAAAAGACCUACAAAACCAAGACUUGGUUCCGCAGAAGAUGGCUCUGUCCUCCGUGCUUGUACAAAGGACAGACAUGGUCAACUCCUGACUGUGCAGUGAGCAGGAGAGGCUCUUGCUUCUAAGUCACAUGAGGAGAUGCUUUCCUACCCAAGCCCAGAGCCAAAGGGAAAGGCCGCUGACACCGACACAGGGAAACUGUUGACGUCCAGAAGCCACCCUGUGCAGGCCGAGCAGCUCGAAGCUGACCUUCCUGACUUGACUGCCAUUGCGCCCGCAAGUCUGAAGCUUGUGCCUACCUGAAAGCCACGCUUGCCUCUCCACCAGGGGCUCAGCUCCUUUGCUGGCAUAGCAAGAAUGCACACCAGGUCUCCCACCUGCAAGACAUUGCAACAUCAAUCCCAGCUUCAGCACAGCUGCGAGGAAAGCACAGCUGAAAUGACGCCCUUCUUCUGCACUGCCAAAUAGCGCACAGCUUGAGAGCAAUUGCACCGGGGCAGCUCUUCAGGCAUUUCCCGUCAGAAAGCUGAACUGGCACGUACAAGAGUCACUGCCUUGCACACCAGACAGAAUACAGUGCAAGCAUGCCAAAUCAAACCGUCUUUUACACAUGGC
ensembl:lncRNA